rnacentral:lncRNA from 1 species
CCUGUACUGACUUUCUCCUCCAGAUCUUUAGCCCUAUCUUGUGAAUUAAGAUCUCCUACCUAUGAAGGUUAGUCUCAGGUUACCACAAUGUACCAAGGGAAAGCAAAGUUUGCUUCCCCGCCUCUCAUUGCAGCUAACCUUUCCCCUUUUCCCUUUCCCUCUUCCUGUUUCCCUUUUCACUUUCCUUUCUUCUUCCACAAACAUGGGUUUUACACAAAUACCGAGAUUUUUCUUGCUUUCAUCUUGCAGCAGUGGUACCUUUUGGACAAGCCAGUCUCUGGUGACAGAGAUCAUGGGUGGAAUGCUGCUACAAUGGCCCUGAAAGCUUCAUCUUCCUUUGGAGUGAAUCGGAGACAAGUUGAUGAAAAAGACUUUCAUUUGAAUGAGAGAUCAAUCACAGAGACUGAAAGGUAAAUCAGUGACACAAAUUGUGAUUUCCACAAGGUAUUAGAUAAAGCACAGCCAAGAAAGCAGGAAAAUAAAAGUAUACC